UACGGAGGGAGCUAGCGUUGUUCGGAAUUACUGGGCGUAAAGCGCACGUAGGCGGCUUUGUAAGUUAGAGGUGAAAGCCCGGAGCUCAACUCCGGAAUUGCCUUUAAGACUGCAUCGCUCGAAUCCAGGAGAGGUGAGUGGAAUUCCGAGUGUAGAGGUGAAAUUCGUAGAUAUUCGGAAGAACACCAGUGGCGAAGGCGGCUCACUGGACUGGUAUUGACGCUGAGGUGCGAAAGCGUGGGGAGCAAACAGG
rnacentral:rRNA from 1 species